CCCAGACUCCUACCGGGAGCACAGUUGGGGGAUAUUGCACAAAUGGGCGCAAGCUCUGAUGCAGCCAUGCCGCGUGAAUGAUGAAGGCCUUAGGGUCUGUAAAAUUCUGUCGCCAGGGAUGAUAAUGACAGUACCUGGUAAAGAACGCCCCGGCUAACUUCGUGCCAGCAGCCCGCGGUAAUACGAAUGGGGGCUAGCGUUUGUUCGGAAUUACUGGGCGUAAAGCGCACGUAGCCGGACUUUUAAAGUCAGUAUGUGAAAUCCCGAGGCUCAACCUCGGAACUGCAUUUGAAACGCUGGGAGUCUAGAGAUCAGGAGAGGUUAGCGGAAUACCGAGUGUAGAGUUGAAAUUCGUAGAUAUUCGUGUGGAACACCAUGUGGCGAAGGCGGCUAACUGGACUGAUACUGACGGUGAGGUGCGAAAGUUGUGGGGAGCAUAACCAGGAUUAGAUACCCCUGGUAGUCCACACUCGUAAAUCGAUGAGUGCUAGUUGUCUGCAGGCAUGCCUGUUAGGUGACGCAGCUAACGCAUUAAGCACUCCGCUCUGGGGAGUACGGCCGCCAAGGUUAAAACUCAAAUGAAUUGACGG
rnacentral:rRNA from 1 species